rnacentral:rRNA from 1 species
UGGCGGACGGGUGAGUAAUGUCUGGGAAACUGCCCGAUGGAGGGGGAUAACUACUGGAAACGGUAGCUAAUACCGCAUAACGUCGCAAGACCAAAGAGGGGGACCUUAGGGCCUCUUGCCAUCGGAUGAACCCAUAUGGGAUUAGCUUGUAGGUAAGGUAACGGCUUACCUAGGCGACGAUCCCUAGCUGGUCUGAGAGGAUGAUCAGCUACACUGGGACUGAGACACGGCCCAG